GCGCUUGGCGCUGCCUACAAUGCGAGUCGAGCGGCAGCGGGACCUUCUUUGUUGCCGGCGAGCGGGGGACGGGUGAGAAAUGACUAGGAAUCUGCCUGUUAGUGGGGGAUAACGCGGGGAAACUCGCGCUAAUACCGCAUACGUCCUACGGGAGAAAGUGGGGGACCUUCGGGCCUCACGCUAACAGAUGAGCCUAGGUCGGAUUAGCUGGUUGGUGGGGUAACGGCCCACCAAGGCGACGAUCCGUAACUGGUCUGAGAGGAUGAUCAGUCACACUGGAACUGAGACACGGUCCAAACUCCUACGGGAGGCAGCAGUGGGGAAUAUUGGACAAUGGGCGAAAGCCUGAUCCAGCCAUGCCGCGUGUGUGAAGAAGGUCUUCGGAUUGUAAAGCACUUUAAGUCGGGAGGAAGGGCUGUAGGUGAAUACCCUGCAGCCUUGACGUUACCGACAGAAUAAGCACCGGCUAACUUCGUGCCAGCAGCCGCGGUAAUAC
rnacentral:rRNA from 1 species